rnacentral:rRNA from 1 species
UUGAACUGAAGAGUUUGAUCAUGGCUCAGAUUGAACGCUGGCGGCAGGCCUAACACAUGCAAGUCGAGCGGAUGAGAGGAGCUUGCUCCUGGAUUCAGCGGCGGACGGGUGAGUAAUGCCUAGGAAUCUGCCGUGGUAGUGGGGGACAACGUUUCGAAAGGAACGCUAAUACCGCAUACGUCCUACGGG